rnacentral:rRNA from 1 species
UCGGGAAUAUUGCGCAAUGGAGGAAACUCUGACGCAGUGACGCCGCGUAUAGGAAGAAGGUUUUCGGAUUGUAAACUAUUGUCGUUAGGGAAGAAAAAAGACAGUACCUAAGGAGGAAGCUCCGGCUAACUACGUGCCAGCAGCCGCGGUAAUACGUAGGGAGCGAGCGUUAUCCGGAUUUAUUGGGUGUAAAGGGUGCGUAGACGGGUAUACAAGUUGGUUGUGAAAUCCCUCGGCUUAACUGAGGAACUGCAACCAAAACUGUAUAUCUUGAGUACAGGAGAGGUAAGUGGAAUUCCUAGUGUAGCGGUGAAAUGCGUAGAUAUUAGGAGGAACACCAGUGGCGAAGGCGACUUACUGGACUGAAACUGACGUUGAGGCACGAAAGUGUGGGGAGCAAACAGG